AUGGAGUCCAACAGCAAGGUGUAAGGGAGGGCUUCUCUUAAUUCUCGAGAAAGUUCCACUAAAAUAUUGCCUUCAUAUGAGAAAGCCAAGGCUCUAAGAGGAGAAGUAACUUACCCAAUAUCUCACAGGAUGUCGGUUUCAGAGCUGAGAUCCCAAUGAGGUACCUUCUUAUCUGCUGGACCAUACUAAUUUAGGGAGUAUGCAGGUUAGGCUCAUGUUGGGAAGAAGCUCUAGGGACCUGGACGUUCUAGAUGAUGCAGAGCUUUUCAUGCAAGUCACCCAAGGUCAAAGCCAACAUGGG